UACGCACUUCGGUGCAAUGUACGAGUGGCGAACGGGUGAGUAACACGUGAGAAACCUGCCUCGGAGACCGGGACAACCAUUGGAAACGAUGGCUAAUACCGGAUGUCCUCAUUUGAUCGCAUGAUCUUUUGAGGAAAUGAUCCGUCGCUCCGGGAGGGUCUCGCGGCCUAUCAGCUUGUUGGUGAGGUAAUGGCUCACCAAGGCAUCAACGGGUAGCUGGUCUGAGAGGACGAUCAGCCACACUGGGACUGAGACACGGCCCAGACUCCUACGGGAGGCAGCAGUAGGGAAUCUUGCACAAUGGGCGAAAGCCUGAUGCAGCGACGCCGCGUGGGGGAUGAAGGCCUUCGGGUUGUAAACCCCUUUCAGUAGGGACGAAAAUGACGGUACCUACAGAAGAAGCUCCGGCCAACUACGUGCCAGCAGCCGCGGUAACACGUAGGGAGCAAGCGUUGUCCGGAUUUAUUGGGCGUAAAGAGCUCGUAGGUGGUUCGGUAAGUCGGAUGUGAAAACUCAAGGCUCAACCUUGAGACGC
rnacentral:rRNA from 1 species